CUGUCCUGUUCUUUUCUAGCAAGCAUAUGAGAAUGUCCCAGCUCCUGACAAGGUGGUUUGCCUUAUACAAGCAAUCAGGAAAAUUGAUAUACCAGUUGAGCAAAGAGCACUUGCGGCGUUGUUACUGCGAAGACUGUUUACCAACAAUUUUGAAACACUGUGGCCACAGAUAUCUCUAGAGAUUCAAAAUGGUGUAAAACAAGAACUGAUGGCUGCCAUCCACCAAGAGGAAGCUCCUAAUGUGCGCAGAAAAGUUUGUGACGCGUUCUCAGAACUGGUCAGGAAUAUGAUUGAUGAUGACAACAACAUGCAGUGGCCAGAAGCUCUCUUCUU
rnacentral:sRNA from 1 species